rnacentral:lncRNA from 1 species
UCUAGCUUUAUUCAACAUCCUGAUUUUAUAUCCACAUCAGUACAGGUUCGUAUACAUAAAGAAAAACCGUAAUCGUGCUCCAUUACCAGCAGUAUUUAAAGGAUACACAUUUGCCUUAAACAUAAAGCCCACAUGCUCGAUCAUAGUCAUCAAUUCCCAAUAUGAGGUAACAGAGAGUACAGGACAGAUACAUCAAAGGUAAUUAAAAGUUUUCAAAUCCCUUGCACUUAUCAAAUCACAAAACACACACACACAUAUACGUAUAUAUACUGAUUAAAUGAUCAAACCACCUCCUUGGUGGGCGGCGCAGGAUUCUUGAGGUCGUCGGCGGUCAUUGCAGGGAUCGAAACGUACCCCAACUUCUUCUUGGUGGCGGCGACAUGGUCAUCCUCAUCGUCAGAAACAUCGUCGAAAUCAAAACGGCCGGGGGAAAAGAGGGCCCACAAGAAGUACAUUAUGGCCCCGGUGAGGGCCCCACAGCCGACGCCGAAGAGCAGCGCGCCAACCACGCUCAUGAUAUCCUUGGUCCGGUCGCGAAUGGAGCUCGAAACGGUGGAAUAGAAUUUGAGGGGAAAACCGGAUGACGUCAUCACUGGAGAUGAUGACUGAGAGUCACCGUUGGAGGAGAGAUCGGAUUUGAAAUUAACUGAAUGACGGUGGUUAGGGAAGGGUUUGGGGGCGGUGGAGGUGAAGAUGAAGGUGACAUAGCGGGGAUUUUGGCUGCGGAGGGAGGAAUUGGGGUUAGGGUUUGCAGGGAGCGAGUGGUAAGGAUAAUAGGUGGUGGUGGUCGUGGUGGUCGUAGCGGAGAAAUAGAAAAAGGUCUUACAGGGGCGGGCGGAGGAGGUGGCUGCGAGAAGGGAGAGGAGGAGGAGGAGCAACGGUUGAGCCGAGAUCGCCAUUUCCAAGAGAGAGAAUCUCGUGAGGAAAGAUGAAAGACUUUCUUUUUGAAGGAGAGACGAAAGACGAAAGAUGAAAAAUGAAAAGUGCGAGUUGCCUCUUGUAAGGUAAUCCCCUAAAAU